rnacentral:rRNA from 1 species
CAGUAGCCGCGGUAAUACGAGGGGGGCAAGCGUUGUUCGGAAUUAUUGGGCGUAAAGGGUGCGUAGGCGGUUUGGCAAGUUUGGUGUGAAAUCUUCGGGCUCAACUCGAAGUCUGCAUCGAAAACUGCCGGGCUUGAGUAUGGGAGAGGUGAGUGGAAUUUCCGGUGUAGCGGUGAAAUGCGUAGAUAUCGGAAGGAACACCUGUGGCGAAAGCGGCUCACUGGACCAUAACUGACGCUGAUGCACGAAAGCUAGGGGAGCAAACAGGAUUAGAUACCCCCGUAGUCCCUGUCUCUUAUAC